GACGAACGCUGGCGGCGUGCUUAACACAUGCAAGUCGAACGGGGCUAUUAUGAAAGCUUGCUUUCAUAAUAGCCUAGUGGCGAACGGGUGAGUAACACGUAACUAACCUGCCUACUAGCGGGGGAUAACUAUUGGAAACGAUAGCUAAUACCGCAUAACAGUGUUUAACACAUGUUAGAUGCUUGAAAGAUGCAAUUGCAUCACUAGUAGAUGGACCUGCGUUGUAUUAGCUAGUUGGUGGGGUAACGGCCCACCAAGGCGACGAUACAUAGCCGACCUGAGAGGGUGAUCGGCCACACUGGGACUGAGACACGGCCCAG
rnacentral:rRNA from 1 species